rnacentral:rRNA from 1 species
CUGUUUAUCAAAAACAUUUCUUAAAGACAUAAUUUUAAGUAAAACCUGCUCCAUGUUAAAUAAAUAGCCGCAGCCCGCUGUGCUAAGGUAGCAUAAUAAUUAGCUUUUUAAUUAAAAGAUAGAAUGAACGGUUAAACGAAAUUCUAAUUGUUUCAUUACUUAAGAAAAAUAAAAUUAAAAUAAAAGUCAAAAUUCUUUUAAAGAUCAGAAAGACGAUAAGACCCUAAAAACUUUAUAUUUAGCUGGGGCGGCUAAAAAAUAAACACUUAACCACUUAAUACCACAAACCAAAAAAUAAUUUUCAAGAACAGUUACUUUAGGGAUAACAGCGCUACUUUUUUUAAAAGCCCUUAUACAAAAAAAUCCUACGACCU